AGAAGAUUGCCUGAGGACUUCCUUGUUGACUGUAGCUUAUCUUGCUGUGUAUCCACUAACAGAUCAAGUUGAAGUGUGGGUACCUCAAGCUUUGUUUAAUUUUCUUUUUCUUUUUUUUUUUUCAUCUCCAAGUACAUGGAUUAGAGCUAUAAAGAUGUUGGUCUAAGUCACAAGAGUUUUGGAGACCGGAAAUGCUUGAUUUCAGAAGUUGAAUUUAAAGUUAUCUGAAGAUACUCCUAUGGGGAGAAGAAACUUCUCUAGUCCAAAAGCACUUGUGAGCUAUUUUUGAAAGUUGGUGGGAAAUCCUCUUGGUCCUCUGGGUCACAGGACAGUGAGCUCUUUCACAGCCUUGGAACACCUGAGCUGGGAAUCCUGUGCUUGGCAUCUGCCUACAGACAAGAGUGCUUCUACUUCUUUUUGUGUCCAUUGUUUGCAGAGCAGCUGAGAAGGACUUCUGUCUUUCUCUGUGUGUGUGACUGGAGGAGAAAAGGGCAACUGGAGUAAAAGGAAGGAGCAACUGGUGGUGCAAAUU